rnacentral:rRNA from 1 species
GAUCAUGGCUCAGAACGAACGCUGGCGGCAUGGAUUAGGCAUGCAAGUCGAACGAAGCAGCAAUGCUUAGUGGCGCAAGGGUGAGGAACACGUGAGUGACCUACCCGCAAGUUUGGAACAGCUCCUGGAAACGGGAAUUAAUACCGGAUGUGAUCAUGAGUCUGCAUGGAUUCAUGAUUAAAGCAGUAAUGCGCUUGCGGAUGGGCUCGCGUCCCAUUAGCUAGUUGGUGAGGUAACGGCCCACCAAGGCCAUGAUGGGUAGCUGGUCUGAGAGGACGACCAGCCACACUGGGACUGAGAACUGCCCAGACUCCUACGGGGAGGCUGCAGUCGAGAAUUUUGGGCAAUGGACGAAAGUCUGAACCCCCAGCAAUGCCGCGUGCGGGAUGAAGGUCUUCGGAUUGUAAACCGCUGUUUGGAGGGACGAAAAUUGACGGUACUUCCAGAGGAAGCCACGGCUAACUACGUGCCAGCAGCAGC